AUACGUAGGUGGCGAGCGUUAUCCGGAAUUAUUGGGCGUAAAGGGUGCGUAGGCGGCAUAUUAAGUCUGUGGUUAAAGUGCGGGGCUCAACUCCGUAUUGCCAUAGAAACUGGUAAGCUAGAGUGCAGGAGAGGGCAGUGGAAUUCCAUGUGUAGCGGUAAAAUGCGUAGAUAUAUGGAGGAACACCGGUGGCGAAGGCGGCUGCCUGGCCUGUAACUGACGCUGAGGCACGAAAGCGUGGGGAGCAAAUAGGAUUAGAUACCCUAGUAGUCCACGCUGUAAACGAUGAAUACUAAGUGUUGGAGCAAUUCAGUGCUGUAGUUAACGCAAUAAGUAUUCCGCCUGGGGAGUAUGCACGCAAGUGUAAAACUCAAAUGAAUUGACGGGG
rnacentral:rRNA from 1 species